rnacentral:snRNA from 1 species
GUGCUUGCUUCAGCGGCAUGUAUACUAAAAUUGGAAUGACACAGAGAAGAUUAGCCUGGCCCCUGCACAAGGAUGACACGCAAAUUCAUGAAGCAUUCCACGUCUUU